GACGAACGCUGGCGGCGUGCCUAAUACAUGCAAGUCGAGCGAGCGGAACUAACAGAUUUACUUCGGUAAUGACGUUAGGAAAGCGAGCGGCGGAUGGGUGAGUAACACGAGGGGAACCUGCCCCAUAGUCUGGGAUACCACUUGGAAACAGGUGCUAAUACCGGAUAAGAAAGCAGAUCGCAUGAUCAGCUUUUAAAAGGCGGCGUAAGCUGUCGCUAUGGGAUGGCCCCGCGGUGCAUUAGCUAGUUGGUAAGGUAAAGGCUUACCAAGGCGAUGAUGCAUAGCCGAGUCGAGAGACUGAUCGGCCACAUUGGGACUGAGACACGGCCCAAACUCCUACGGGAGGCAGCAGUAGGGAAUCUUCCACAAUGGACGCAAGUCUGAUGGAGCAACGCCGCGUGAGUGAAGAAGGUUUUCGGAUCGUAAAGCUCUGUUGUUGGUGAAGAAGGAUAGAGGUAGUAACUGGCCUUUAUUUGACGGUAAUCAACCAGAAAGUCACGGCUAACUACGUG
rnacentral:rRNA from 1 species